rnacentral:rRNA from 1 species
AAACCAACAGGGAUUGCCUUAGUAGCGGCGAGUGAAGCGGCAAAAGCUCAAAUUUGAAAUCUGGCUCUUUCAGAGUCCGAGUUGUAAUUUGAAGAAGGUAUCUUUGGGUCUGGCUCUUGUCUAUGUUUCUUGGAACAGAACGUCACAGAGGGUGAGAAUCCCGUGCGAUGAGAUGAUCCAGGCCUAUGUAAAGUUCCUUCGAAGAGUCGAGUUGUUUGGGAAUGCAGCUCUAAGUGGGUGGUAAAUUCCAUCUAAAGCUAAAUAUUGGCGAGAGACCGAUAGCGAACAAGUACAGUGAUGGAAAGAUGAAAAGAACUUUGAAAAGAGAGUGAAAAAGUACGUGAAAUUGUUGAAAGGGAAGGGCUUGAGAUCAGACUUGGUAUUUUGUAUGUUACUUCUUCGGGGGUGGCCUCUACAGUUUAUCGGGCCAGCAUCAGUUUGGGCGGUAGGAGAAUUGCGUUGGAAUGUGGCACGGCUUCGGUUGUGUGUUAUAGCCUUCGUCGAUACUGCCAGCCUAGACUGAGGACUGCGGUUUAUACCUAGGAUGUUGGCAUAAUGAUCUUAAGUCGCCCGCU